rnacentral:tRNA from 3 species
GGAGAAGUAUCGAAGUGGUCAUAACGAGCCGCACUCGAAAUGCGGUUGCUCGCAAGGGCACGUGGGUUCGAAUCCCACCUUCUCCGCCA